GGAACUUGCUGUUGAAAGAUCCCAGCAACCUCCAGUAGCUUCUGGCCAUGGUGCUGCACAUGUGGGGGUUGCUUCCUCUGCCCAGACCGUCUGCAGCCAGAUUCUUAAUCAUGAGAAGUACUGAUUCUUCGAAGUCCAAUUCUGCCAUUGGGGCCGUCUCCUCUGAGCUCUCCAAACAGUCACAGUUUGGGAAAUUUCUUCAGCUUCCUAGGCUUCAUCCAUUUGCUUGAUGUGCAUGGAUAUGAACCUACAUGUCCCAAGCAG